rnacentral:rRNA from 1 species
CCUACGGGAGGCAGCAGUGAGGAAUAUUGGUCAAUGGGCGGGAGCCUGAACCAGCCAAGUCGCGUGAGGGAAGACGGUCCUACGGAUUGUAAACCUCUUUUGCCGGGGAGCAACGGGGUCCUUGCGAGGGCCCGAUGAGAGUACCCGGGGAAAAAGCAUCGGCUAACUCCGUGCCAGCAGCCGCGGUAAUACGUAGGGGGCAAGCGUUAUCAGGAUUUACGGGGUGUAAAGGGAGAGUAGACGGCGGUGCAAGGCAGGUGUGAAAGCCCGGGGCUCAACCCCGGGACUGCAUUUGGAACUGUGCUGCUAGAGUUUCGGAGAGGCAGGCGGAAUUCCUGGUGUAGCGGUUAAAUGCGUAGAUAUUAGGAGGAACACCAGUGGCGAAGGCGGCCUGCUGGACGAUGACUGACGUUGAGGCUCGAAAGCGUGGGGAGCAAACAGGAUUAGAUACCCGAGUAGUC